UACGGAGGGUGCAAGCGUUAUCCGGAUUCACUGGGUUUAAAGGGUGCGUAGGUGGGUUUGUAAGUCAGUGGUGAAAUCUCCAAGCUUAACUUGGAAACUGCCGUUGAUACUAUAAAUCUUGAAUGUUGUGGAGGUGAGCGGAAUAUGCCAUGUAGCGGUGAAAUGCUUAGAUAUGACAUAGAACACCAAUUGCGAAGGCAGCUCACUACACAAAGAUUGACACUGAGGCACGAAAGCGUGGGGAUCAAACAGG
rnacentral:rRNA from 1 species